GGCAAAUCAUUAUAUUUCUCCCAGCCUUAAAAAUCUUCAGUAAGUUAAAGAGAGAAGGACUCAGGCUUAAUGGCAAUCCUAUUAUCUUACCAAUGAGAAGACUAAACACCCAGUUGGAGAUCACCUCCUUACUGGCUCAGAGCUUCAGGAAAUAGCUCAAGAGUGUGCAAAUACUAAACAGUAGAUCUGGGAUUUAGAUCCACAUCUACUUAAUUUUAGUGCGUGUGCUCUAACUGCUGCCACAGAAGGGAUGCAGAGGAAGACGGUCAGUUACCCAGAGGGUGAUAUCUUUGACUUAAUGUUCACCAUAAAGACAGAUAUCAACAAAAGACUUGAAUUCUAACUUGUUAUCUAUUGUAGGAAAGUGCCUGCCAUAUGGUGACUCCUACAGAGCAUCUGACAAUCAGAGAAGAGUUAGAAUACAUUAAGCUCAGCAUCACAUAUGUAGUUUAAAUACAACUCCACCUCCUUCUCUUUCUUUCUCUUCUUUUCUGCCUUUGUUGCCCUACCUAGGAUUAAAAUCUUAGGUCUUAUGUUAAAAGAA
rnacentral:lncRNA from 1 species